CGUAGGUGGCAAGCGUUGUCCGGAUUUAUUGGGUUUAAAGGGUGCGUAGGCGGCUUUGUAAGUCAGUGCUGAAAUAUCCCGGCUUAACCGGGAGGGUGGCAUUGAUACUGCAGGGCUUGAGUAAAGUUGAGGUUGGCGGAAUUGACGGUGUAGCGGUGAAAUGCUUAGAUAUCGUCAAGAACACCUAUUGCGUAGGCAGCUAACUAAGCUUUAACUGACGCUGAGGCACGAAAGUGUGGGGAUCAAACAGGAUUAGAUACCCUGGUAGUCCACACUGUAAACGUUGAUGACUCGAUGUUGGCGAUACACAGUCAGCGUCUUAGAGAAAUCGUUAAGUCAUCCACCUGGGGAGUACGCCGGCAACGGUG
rnacentral:rRNA from 1 species